AGUGAAAGAAUUGAUGCGCUAUCACCUCGUGUGCCCAGCCUCAUACUUUCUCGGAGCUAAAUGAAGGAUGGGUGGGGAGCUGUGUUCAACUUGUCACCAUCUUCAUACUUCCAGACGUAAAACUCGAAUUUGACCUUCUCUCCCAGCUACAGCUGCACUGAUUUUCUUUGCUCCCCUCAUACCCUUCGAAAAACAUUUGGUGUUUCUCUUAUAAUGGUCGACAUUAUGUAAUGAAGGUAUUUCUGAAAGACGGUAACAGACCGGGAGUUUACCUCUAUAGAAUUAAAAUAUCAGGCUCAGCAGAAGAACAAGUUGCCUAGCAACUGAUACUGCACGCUCCAGCAACUGUUCAUGCCUGCUGAGAUUGACAAGGGAGCUCAAGAUAACUGGCUGGGCUCUGUUCUUAGCAGUUCUGACAACAAAUAUUAAAAUGCACAGACAGAAAACAGAGACCUAGAAACUUUUCUUAGAGAAAUUACUACCAGAGUGAAAAGGAAAAAUUCAGCUGAGAAGUUGAUGAUGACUCAAAUGGCAGGAUCAGAAGGAAGAAGGCUGGGGAAGUAGAGACAAUAUUCUGGCAUAAAGAGCUCUCAAAGCGGGACUACUGUUGGCCUCUCUCUCUACUCCAAUCCAUCUUCAGUGAUGCUGCCCAACAUGAUCAUCCUAAAGUAUUAAGAAACAGAGUGUUAACUUGGUUAUCUUUUGGAAUGCUCAUGUAUUUCUCACUCCAAAUCCAACACUGACACCUUAUAAUGAAUACAUCAUGCCUUCUUUGAGGGAAGGAUGCAUCUUACUCUAGGUAAGAGCCUUGAUUAUUUCUAAAUGCCAUAAUAUUUGUGCUCUUUUGUGGUCAUGGCAAUUACUGUGCUUUAAAUUGCAGUUAUCUGACAAUUAGUGCAAAAUGAAGAAAUAUGAGAACAGGUGGAGUUUGGUGUAUGAGCUAUGUAUCAGAAACCAUUAUUGACAUCUGGGUUAAAACAAAAAGAUGCCAUCCAUCUGAACAAUUUGUGUGUCACCAAACUGAUGUGAAAUUACAGUGUAUUGAUCUGAAUGUCACAUUGUUCACCCAUAUGAGGAAACAUCAAAUAGAAACCGUGCUUUGUACUACUGCCCUGUUAUUAAAUUUAAUCCAGAGAUUUGCAAACAUGAAUCAGCCUGCAGGAGAGGAGGUUAGCUAUUUAAUGUCUUCUUGCUAAUAUGCCCAUUAGAAUAAGGAAUGAACAGUUUUAAAAAUAGUUUCAUUUAAAAUCCUAAAUUUAGAGGGAGAAGAGAGUUUGUAGAUCAUCUAAUCUGUCAGUCUCAUUUUACAGAGGAAGAAAGUGAAGUCUAAUAAUUUGCAAAGGACCUUGCAGGCAAUAGUGACAGAACCAAGAUUCAUCUCUACAGCCUCUGCCUCCAAAU